GUCAUGAUUAUUUAUUCUUGGGUGUCCUUACAAAGGAAACUACCUCAAGAAAUCCUUUUCCGCUUUUUCUGCACUAAGGAUAAAUAAUAGUCCAAGACCUGAUCUCGGAAGAACCCCCCUCCAUCCCGUCUUAUUUCUUGUCAGUAGUGCACGUUCCAGUUCCCGUUCGGCAAGUGAGUAAUUCUUUCUCGUGUCCUUUUGAGAUCAGAGUGGCCUUACAGACGAACUAAGAGUAAUCUCAUCAACAACAUAUAAGAGAGAAAAGAGAGAUUCAUACAUGGAUUUCGUUGAAGGAGCUCCUUCAUCUACAGUUGAUAUUCCAGAAUUUUUAAAAUCCUUCCCGAAGCUGUCUACCUCUGAUUCAUCUGCCAAUCUUGAUUCUUUACCUAAUGGUGCUAAAGUUGUAGCCACUGAAAGUCUUGCUAGAAAAACAUCUUCUUCUCAUUACACGUUAGCGGACAUGUUAAAAAGAUCAGACGUUACUUCACGAUGGGAGGAUGGUCGUGUUGUGAACGAGUAUCGCAGAAUUAUUCGGGAUAUUAUUGAGGUACUGUUCCAAUUGGAGUUGAAAGAUAUACGUUCUGGCUACUUGAACGAUGAUGACAUAGUCAUUAUUCAUGGUCGAGCAAAGAUCCCCUAUUUUGCGAAACCUUGUAUUGAAACUAAAUUGUCAAGCUAUAGACAAGAAUUCAAAUCUUUGGUUUCAAGAAUAAUCGGGGAGAAUGCUGCAAUAGUGGAGUUAGUGCACUUCUAUGGCACGAUAGACAACCUUGGGAUGACUUUUAACGACUUAUGGUAUCAUCCUCUGCUCCAAUCAUCUAAUGAGAGAUAUUUUUUCCCUCUUGACGCCUGGUUGCAUCUUCAAUAUGAGAGAAGACUUACAUGGAGAAAUAUGUAUCAAAAUGUGGCGAAUAAUGAUAUUGACAUCAACACAAUCGUUGGAAAAUCUAACUAUAAGGCUUUUAAGUCCGUUCUUUUGAAAAAAACCAAAAAGGAAGGUGCAUAUAAGAAUAAUGCCUUGGGAGUGUUUGAUUACUCAAGAUACAUACUCGAGAAUGUCAAUAAAAAUGUGGACAAGGACAAUGAAAGAAUUUCGACCAAGCAUGAAGUGGAAGAAGAGCUUACUUCGUUGUUCCCCACACGGCUAAUAGAUUUAUAUGAGUUCUUGUAUUACAUGGGCAUUAGCAUGGACUCCUUAGGGCUACGAAGAUCAUAUUGCUUAGACUCUAAUUGGAUUUAGACCAAGCUCCUACUCCAUUAUGAGUCGGAAAUAAAAAAUCGCACAUCUCAAUCCGCAAAUCGUAACUCAUAAAAUACUAUUUGGAUUCUGGAAAUCGCAAUAGAAAUCUCAGUCGCAAUCUUCAUUGCAGUCUCAAUCUCUUACCAAGAUUCACAAAUCGCAAGCUCUGAUCAAAAUUCAAGAAUUGCACAAGAUCAAUGUAGACGCAGAACUUUGAUCAUGAACACAGUUGCCCAACCUUCACGAGCCAAAAGCCAAAGAACUUGAUCAUGAUUGAUGUAGACGACGAACUUUGAUCAUGAAUAUGAUCCUAGCUUAAUGGAGCCGAUUGCAUGUUGCAGCAUUUACAUUGCUUUUGCAUAAGCUAGUUUUUUCUAACUCAAGUUUUUUGUACCAAGCCUCGAGUUUCACAUGAUAAGCUCUUUGUGAAUGUUGGUUCGUAAUCAUGCUAUCCUUUUAUCCCAUGCCACUAUUAUCUGUGCUUUAUAACAUUUUGGAGCUUUGAUCCCCUGUCUGGUAUGAUUGACUGGUCAUAUCUACUAGUUAGUUGUCGUUCGGGUUUUAUGUUGCUCAGGUUGUAGGUUAUUUGCUUUGACAUUGUUACUUUUGCCAUAUUUUGGACCAAAUUAAUGCUUUUGGUUAUCUGAUUAAUGUGCCUUGGAUUGUUUUCUAUUUGAUA